rnacentral:rRNA from 1 species
AGAUUGAACGCUGGCGGCAGGCCUAACACAUGCAAGUCGAGCGGCAGCACGGGUACUUGUACCUGGUGGCGAGCGGCGGACGGGUGAGUAAUGCCUAGGAAUCUGCCUGGUAGUGGGGGAUAACGCUCGGAAACGGACGCUAAUACCGCAUACGUCCUACGGGAGAAAGCAGGGGACCUUCGGGCCUUGCGCUAUCAGAUGAGCCUAGGUCGAUUAGCUAGUUGGUGAGGUAAUGGCUCACCGAAGGCGACGAUCCGUAACUGGUCUGAGAGGAUGAUCAAGUCACACGUGGAACUGAGACACGGUCCAGACUCCGUACGGGAGCAGCAGGUAGGGAAUAGUGGACAAGUGGGACGAAAGCCUAGAC